rnacentral:lncRNA from 1 species
CCUCACACAUGAUCCUGAAAAUGGAACUAACGUGUUAGUGAAACGAUUUUUGCAAGAUCCUUGUCUAAAAAGGGAGUCAAACGUACGCUUAAAAUAAGAAAUUUGAGUAGAAAAACAAUUUCAACCAAAGAACAAAAACACCCAAAAACUCACAAAAACAAAAAGAAUUUACGACAGAACUUACACAGAAAUCCUCCAACGAUACAACAAACAACGUAAGACCUCAACUGGUCCCAGUAGCUACUUUACAGAUGUAAUUAAAAAGAAAAAUAAAAAAAUUAAGAACAAGAAAAAAAAGAAGAAAGAAAAGAAAGAAAGGAGAAUGGAAAAAGGGAAAGUGUGAGAGAGAAACGUUAAAUUCUAUUUUAACUACCAAUAAGAUUUCUCACAUUCAGCAAAAAUAUUCCUUAACGCAUACAUCGGGACUCGAG